rnacentral:rRNA from 1 species
UACAGAGGGUGCGAGCGUUAAUCGGAAUUACUGGGCGUAAAGCGAGUGUAGGUGGUUGUCCAAGUUGGAUGUGAAAGCCUUGAGCUCAACUCAAGAAAUGCAUUCAGGACUGGGCGGCUAGAGGACCGGAGAGGAUAGUGGAAUUCCCAGUGUAGUGGUGAAAUACGUAGAGAUUGGGAAGAACACCAGUGGCGAAGGCGGCUAUCUGGACGGUUUCUGACACUAAGACUCGAAAGCGUGGGGAGCAAACAGG